rnacentral:rRNA from 1 species
AUUGAACGCCGGCGGCAGGCUUAACACAUGCAAGUCGAGCGGGGUGAUGGUGCUUGCACUAUCACUUAGCGGCGGACGGGUGAGUAAUGCUUAGGAAUCUGCCUAUUAGUGGGGGACAACAUUUCGAAAGGAAUGCUAAUACCGCAUACGUCCUACGGGAGAAAGCAGGGGAUCUUCGGACCUUGCGCUAAUAGAUGAGCCUAAGUCGGAUUAGCUAGUUGGUGGGGUAAAGGCCUACCAAGGCGACGAUCUGUAGCGGGGCUGAGAGGAUGAUCAGCCACAAUGGGAAUGAGACACGGCCCAGACUCCUACGGGAGGCAGCAGUGGGGAAGAUUGGACAAUGGGCGGAAGCCUGAUCCAGCCAUGCCGCGUGUGUGAAGAAGGCCUUAUGGUUGUAAAGCACUUUAAGCGAGGAGGAGGCUACUUUAGUUAAUACCUAGAGAUAGUGGACGUUACUCGCAGAAUAAGCACCGGCUAACUCUGUGCCAGCAGCCGCGGUAACAC